rnacentral:rRNA from 1 species
UACAGGGGGUGCAACCGUUGCUCGGAAUCAUUGGGCGUAAAGCGCACGUAGGCGGUUCGUUAUGUCGGAUGUGAAAGCCCUUGGCUUAACCGAGGAAGUGCAUCCGAAACUGGCGAGCUAGAGUACUAAAGAGGAUCGCGGAAUUCCUGGUGUAGCGGUGGAAUGCGCAGAUAUCAGGAGGAACACCGGUGGCGAAGGCGGGUCUCUGGGCAGUAACUGACGCUGAGGAGCGAAAGCGUGGGGAGCGAACAGG